rnacentral:rRNA from 1 species
AUGAAGGAUGGUGAAGGUGUCGCUGAAAUGUACUCUAGGCUUGCUCUCAUUACAGAUGAGAUUGCCGGCUUAGGAAGUGAAGAGUUCAUCAUCAAGAAGAUCCUAAGAGCCUUGGAUGGAAAAUAUGAUACCGUGUGCACAUUGAUCCAAAUGAUGCCCAACUACAAAGAUCUCAAGCCAAUGGAGGUCAUUGGAAGAAUUGUUGCUCAUGAGAUGUCACUCAAGGAUAAGGAAGAGCUUCACAACAAGUCAAGCGGUGCUUACAAAGCCUCAUAUGAUGCUCCCACAUCAUCAAGUGAGAAACAAACCUUCAAUGAAGAAUUGAGCCUAAUGGUGAACAACUUCAUCAAGUUCUACAAGAGUAGAAGCAAGGAAAGAAGUUCCAUGUCAAGGUCCUACAAUGACAAAAGAUCUUCGAGUCGUGAACGUAAUUGCUACAAUUGUGGAAGACCCGGACACUACUCCAAUGAGUGUACGACUCCCAACAAAAGAAGAGAAGAUUCUCCCAAAAUAAGAAGUAGAAGAGAUGAAUCACCACCAAGAGAGAGAAAGAGUAGAGAUGAUCGUUAUGAAUGA